rnacentral:snRNA from 1 species
GUGCUGGCUUCGGCAGCAUAUACACGAACAUUGGAAUGAUACAGAGAUUAGCAUGGCCCCUGCGCAAGGAUGACACAAAUUUGUGAAGCGUUCCAUUUAAAA